rnacentral:sRNA from 1 species
AUAUCGAGCGAGGCCGAAGUCCCUUCGGACGUCGUUCCCAUGUCGA